rnacentral:rRNA from 1 species
GAUUAAGUUAUUAAGGGCGUACGGUGGAUGCCUUGGCACUAGAAGCCGAUGAAGGACGUUACUAACGACGAUAUGCUUUGGGGAGCUGUAAGUAAGCUUUGAUCCAGAGAUUUCCGAAUGGGGAAACCCAGCAUGAGUUAUGUCAUGUUAUCGAUAUGUGAAUACAUAGCAUAUCAGAAGGCACACCCGGAGAACUGAAACAUCUUAGUACCCGGAGGAAGAGAAAGAAAAUUCGAUUCCCUUAGUAGCGGCGAGCGAAACGGGAAGAGCCCAAACCAACAAGCUUGCUUGUUGGGGUUGUAGGACACUCUGUACGGAGUUACAAAGGACGACAUUAGACGAAUCAUCUGGAAAGAUGAAUCAAAGAAGGUAAUAAUCCUGUAGUCGAAAAUGUUGUCUCUCUUGAGUGGAUCCUGAGUACGACGGAGCACGUGAAAUUCCGUCGGAAUCUGGGAGGACCAUCUCCUAAGGCUAAAUACUCUCUAGUGACCGAUAGUGAACCAGUACCGUGAGGGAAAGGUGAAAAGCACCCCGGAAGGGGAGUGAAAUAGAACCUGAAACCGUGUGCUUACAAGUAGUCAGAGCCCGUUAAUGGGUGAUGGCGUGCCUUUUGUAGAAUGAACCGGCGAGUUACGAUUUGAUGCAAGGUUAAGCAGUAAAUGUGGAGCCGUAGCGAAAGCGAGUCUGAAUAGGGCGUUUAGUAUUUGGUCGUAGACCCGAAACCAGGUGAUCUACCCUUGGUCAGGUUGAAGUUCAGGUAACACUGAAUGGAGGACCGAACCGACUUACGUUGAAAAGUGAGCGGAUGAACUGAGGGUAGCGGAGAAAUUCCAAUCGAACCUGGAGAUAGCUGGUUCUCUCCGAAAUAGCUUUAGGGCUAGCCUCAAGUGAUGAUUAUUGGAGGUAGAGCACUGUUUGGACGAGGGGCCCCUCUCGGGUUACCGAAUUCAGACAAACUCCGAAUGCCAAUUAAUUUAACUUGGGAGUCAGAACAUGGGUGAUAAGGUCCGUGUUCGAAAGGGAAACAGCCCAGACCACCAGCUAAGGUCCCAAAAUAUAUGUUAAGUGGAAAAGGAUGUGGCGUUGCCCAGACAACUAGGAUGUUGGCUUAGAAGCAGCCAUCAUUUAAAGAGUGCGUAAUAGCUCACUAGUCGAGUGACACUGCGCCGAAAAUGUACCGGGGCUAAACAUAUUACCGAAGCUGUGGAUUGUCCUUUGGACAAUGGUAGGAGAGCGUUCUAAGGGCGUUGAAGCAUGAUCGUAAGGACAUGUGGAGCGCUUAGAAGUGAGAAUGCCGGUGUGAGUAGCGAAAGACGGGUGAGAAUCCCGUCCACCGAUUGACUAAGGUUUCCAGAGGAAGGCUCGUCCGCUCUGGGUUAGUCGGGUCCUAAGCUGAGGCCGACAGGCGUAGGCGAUGGAUAACAGGUUGAUAUUCCUGUACCACCUAUAAUCGUUUUAAUCGAUGGGGGGACGCAGUAGGAUAGGCGAAGCGUGCGAUUGGAUUGCACGUCUAAGCAGUAAGGCUGAGUAUUAGGCAAAUCCGGUACUCGUUAAGGCUGAGCUGUGAUGGGGAGAAGACAUUGUGUCUUCGAGUCGUUGAUUUCACACUGCCGAGAAAAGCCUCUAGAUAGAAAAUAGGUGCCCGUACCGCAAACCGACACAGGUAGUCAAGAUGAGAAUUCUAAGGUGAGCGAGCGAACUCUCGUUAAGGAACUCGGCAAAAUGACCCCGUAACUUCGGGAGAAGGGGUGCUCUUUAGGGUUAACGCCCAGAAGAGCCGCAGUGAAUAGGCCCAAGCGACUGUUUAUCAAAAACACAGGUCUCUGCUAAACCGUAAGGUGAUGUAUAGGGGCUGACGCCUGCCCGGUGCUGGAAGGUUAAGAGGAGUGGUUAGCUUCUGCGAAGCUACGAAUCGAAGCCCCAGUAAACGGCGGCCGUAACUAUAACGGUCCUAAGGUAGCGAAAUUCCUUGUCGGGUAAGUUCCGACCCGCACGAAAGGCGUAACGAUUUGGGCACUGUCUCAACGAGAGACUCGGUGAAAUCAUAGUACCUGUGAAGAUGCAGGUUACCCGCGACAGGACGGAAAGACCCCGUGGAGCUUUACUGUAGCCUGAUAUUGAAAUUCGGCACAGCUUGUACAGGAUAGGUAGGAGCCUUUGAAACGUGAGCGCUAGCUUACGUGGAGGCGCUGGUGGGAUACUACCCUAGCUGUGUUGGCUUUCUAACCCGCACCACUUAUCGUGGUGGGAGACAGUGUCAGGCGGGCAGUUUGACUGGGGCGGUCGCCUCCUAAAAGGUAACGGAGGCGCUCAAAGGUUCCCUCAGAAUGGUUGGAAAUCAUUCAUAGAGUGUAAAGGCAUAAGGGAGCUUGACUGCGAGACCUACAAGUCGAGCAGGGUCGAAAGACGGACUUAGUGAUCCGGUGGUUCCGCAUGGAAGGGCCAUCGCUCAACGGAUAAAAGCUACCCCGGGGAUAACAGGCUUAUCUCCCCCAAGAGUUCACAUCGACGGGGAGGUUUGGCACCUCGAUGUCGGCUCAUCGCAUCCUGGGGCUGUAGUCGGUCCCAAGGGUUGGGCUGUUCGCCCAUUAAAGCGGUACGCGAGCUGGGUUCAGAACGUCGUGAGACAGUUCGGUCCCUAUCCGUCGUGGGCGUAGGAAAUUUGAGAGGAGCUGUCCUUAGUACGAGAGGACCGGGAUGGACAUACCUCUGGUGUACCAGUUGUCGUGCCAACGGCAUAGCUGGGUAGCUAUGUGUGGACGGGAUAAGUGCUGAAAGCAUCUAAGCAUGAAGCCCCCCUCAAGAUGAGAUUUCCCAACUUCGGUUAUAAGAUCCCUCAAAGAUGAUGAGGUUAAUAGGUUCGAGGUGGAAGCAUGGUGACAUGUGGAGCUGACGAAUACUAAUCGAUCGAAGACUUAAUCAA